CAACUUCCAGCCUCUUGGCCAGCGCCUGGCAAGCACCGUCCAACUCGUCCGUCGCGCUUUCAGCUGUAAAAAUUAAUUAAAUGGAAUUAAGCGCGUGCUCACGACCGCCCGUCGGGCAAACGAACGCUGUCAUUAAAGCGGACUGAGAACGAGUUUUGAGGGAGCCUGCAUUUACAAACAUGACAAGGGCAAUUCGGCGAGAAUCAAGCGCGUCGCGAGCAAUCGUAGAACACGGGAAAGAAAAAUGACAGCGAAGGGCAUCCCCUCCCGUGCCUCUUCCACCUCGUACGAUCGCGAGAGCGACGCUGACGCAACUGUAUUUUGCGUUUCGCCAGUAAAUCGCCGCGACAAUGUGUGUGCCACACAAAAUCGUCCCUCUUUCGGCCCCAUAAGAAAUGACCAGAUGACAUUUUGCAGGCUCGCACACGGACGGGACGUCGCGUUGCGAGCAAAAAUCAGCUGACUCCAGCCGGCGUUGUCAGCUGAGAACAACGGGCUGGCUCGCUCGAUCGCUGGUGGGUGAGCAGGACCGAAACGCUUGACGGGCGAGAGCGAACAAUCGAAGGCGAGCCGGUGCCGGGACAGAGACAGCAAGACAGACAGAGAGAGAAAGAGAGAGAAAGAGAGAGAAAGAGGAAGAAAGAAAGAACGUUAAACGCUUACCCCUAGUGUUGCUGAAAUCCACAUUGACAGGACACGGCAGGACCUCCAUGAUUUCGUGAGGACGCCCGGCGAUGGACGCACACUGGCACGGUCCUGGUGAUGAUCGUCGUCGUCGUCGUCGUCGUCGUCGUCGUCGUCGUCGUCGUCGUCGUUUGCUGCUGCUGCUGCUCCGCGAAACAACAGCGCGAAAGAUCUCGAAGAAGAUGACGACAACGGACGUGAAACGGGGAAACGAGAUAUACUGCUCGCGGCGUCGGAAACGAUCCCCGGCUGUGAGUGAUACGAGACGCAACGACUACCACGAACGACAACGGCUACGUGCUCUCGAGCGACCGUUCCGUCAGACUUUCACCUUUUCAGCUGUGUACAGAAUGACAGGCUCGACCGACGCAAACACGCGAACGCCACUCGCUCGACUGAUCGGCGGCCGGCCGCUGACGCGACUUAUAUACAUACGACCCCCGUCGCGUGAGCCCGGCACCCCCGUCGGCCCGCACCACCACCGCACGACCGCCUAGCAACACCGCCUACGUGAGGUUCGACACUGUGUCCGCGCUUCGGUCGUUUCCGGCCGCGGUCGCGCCGGCCUUCGGCUGCGUUCGGCUCGCCGAUAUACAAGCGAGCGUGCGAGGCGAUCCUCCGGAGGGGAUCUAUCGCUGUUGCCGGCGGCACACCGGUUUUUUUUCACCCACGACGCUCGUUUUGUUUCUUCUCCUCCUCCUCCCCCUCGUCCUCUGCAGCCGCCGCCGCCGCCGCCGCCGCCUCUUUCUCUUCUCAUCUCCCGAUGACUACGUGCGUUACGUCGCGCACAGUCUUUUAUCGUGGCUUUUAACGCGGCACGAGAGACGCGCGUAUUAUGUCGGUCACAAGUGGGAUCGUCAUCGGGCCCCUCCGCCGUCGGUAGCGAUUUUCAGCAAAUAAGUAACUCGGGUAAAUCUGAAUAUCAUGCCGUGAAAGAGGCGAACCGCGGGCUCACUUCCUUUGUGACUUUGUCUCCCUCUCUCUCUUUCGCCCUCAGCCUGCCCCAAAAAUUCAGAACAGCGCGUUCCCUAUAUUUUGCCGGGAGUCGUGCGAUCAGCUGACCCUGGCUGUGUGUAGCCUAGAGUUUUACGAUAAAAAGACGACGCGUGACGAAAAUCACGGAGAUAUUUUCGUCAGAAUAUCCGCUCCACGUAUAGCCGAGUUCAUAAGUGCCUUUUUGUAUUCCUUCUCGGUUCGAGAGUUACUAAACAUUUUCGACGAGUUUCAUUAUUCAUGUGUUUCUAGACGCCCACGUUUAUUAUUACUGUUGAUUAGUCGAAAAAGCGGCCACGAUGUUCUCACUCUUUUUCUUUGUCUGUUUUAUUAUUAGAGUGCUACCUGGGGCCGUAUUCUUGACGCGUGUUCGAACUCCAAGUAUGCUCUUUUUAUGCCAAAUUUCGUUUUCUUUAUAUAUGAGCGUCUCGUAGAAAAACAUCUUAAAAAUCAGAAAGAUGUACUUGGCAUAUAUUUAUGAAUACGCGUCAAGAACACACAAGUCCUUAGUCUCUUUUAACUAUCGUGUCCAUAUAUCAAUAGACUGAUACACGUAAACUUUACAGCAAAUUUAACUCGUCAUUAGAAAGGCGGAAGCUAAUGGAUUUUUUUCUUUUUUCAGUUGUUAUUUUUAUAAUUUCUCAAACCCUAUAUAAAUUUCUCAUGAUUUUAUGGAAUUUAAUAAGCUAAAAGAAUGCUUAAGAUAUUAUAAAAAUUUAAAGAGAACGAAAUGGAAUAUGUGGGGUCUCUCAGACUCUACCCUUGCGAGACGACAGGUUGAGUAUAUUAAAUCACGAAAUCCAGCAACGUUGAAUUUCUCAUGAUUGAUCAGAUUGCGUUCAUAUCUAUCGCAUGAAAUGACGAAAUAGAAAUACAGAAAAAAAUUAUCAAAAUUUGUCGCAAACAUCAUGUUAAGUGUAAUAUAAAGAUCUGAGUGCAACUUUUAGUAAAUUUGUUUCCAAUACAAAAAAUUGUUGUAUGAUGUAAACUUAACAAUCGCUUCGAUAGAAUAUAUUUCAUGAAUGUAAUUAAAAGAAUUGUAAAGUUUCCAUCAUCGAUCGCGUCUCAUCUCGUGUAGGACGGAAAAUCACGAUGAUUUUGGCCCAAAGUCAAAAUAACGAAGGGAAAAUGGGGAUCGAAUCGUGAUUGACAAGUUUUUUUUAGUCAUUAUCUCAUCAUUUUGACCUCAUCGUAGUUUUGUGUCUUGCACGUCUGGCACGUCGUGAUAAUUAUGAAAAUCUAUCUGGGUUCAUUGAAUCGUAUCACUAUCUGUCGGCUAUUUGCAACACAUGAGCGAAACCUCUUUACUGACUCCAACGAAACGUCAAACUUAUAGUAUCAGCUGCCGCUUUGAAACGUCGUUGCCGCUUUCCCGAUUAAUCAACAGUCGCGACGGACGCGUAUCUAGAAACGAACGCGUCUGCUGGUCGAAAAUGUUUAAUAACUCUCGAUCUGGGGAACAGUAAAAGCAUUUAUGAACACUCCAAUGUACACACACGGGAGAGACAUAACGUAACGGCGACGAGCGCUCGAAAAGCAACCGUAAAAUCUCGCACGUAGAAGCCGAUUAAAAGGACCGAGCGUGUUGCGUAAAACGUGUAAGGUCUCGGUGUCAGUUCGUUAGAAAGCUCUCGGCAACGCGUACGUGCACGCGCGAGCCGCGAUCGAGCCGACUUCUCCUCUAUCGACCGUACAAAAGACACUUUAAACCUUGGCACGUAUCUCUUAACUGCAGAAAGAGGACCCGGAUUUUGCGGCCCGGCCGGCUGGCCGGUCGGUCGGUCGGUCGGUCUCGGAGCGCAUCUUCAAGUCGCCCUGCUUGCCACUGCUGUUGCUGCUGCUCCUCCUGUGAGAGUAGGGACACGUCGAGAGUACAAGGGAGUCCUCGACGAGUAGGAUUUGCCGGCGACGCUUAUGAUUCCAUGUGUAUACCCACAGAAAGGACACAGAUGUGCUAUAAAUAACUCGUUUAGGUCUACGAGUGUGAAGAGAAAAGGAUAAAGGAUUCGCGAGGAUGCUUCCGCAGUAAUGUACCUGACGUACGUGACACGCAGACCUGGACUGAUCCGGGGGUCUGCGGAUUCGAGGUGAUGUGGGGACCCAACGACCCACAGAGAACACCAGAUCCGUGCUAGGAGUCCGCAACAACGGGGAUCGGUGCAUCUGGGAAUCUGUGAAAGUGGAGGAGAGCAGCCGCGGAGAGUGUCGGCGGCGGUGGCGAAAUAAGAGAGAAUCCCACGAUCGCAUUAAGCGCCGGGAAUGGAUAACCGCGCGCAGGUGGAGGUCCGCAAUUAAUCCGCGAGGAUCCACCGAGAAGAGCCUUCGUGCUCUUCGUGCUCUCUGCGUGCACGUGAAUCCGCGGCGGUGUCCACGAAGGAGAUUCGCGCAACGAGGAAUCCAUAAAUCCCGGCCCCGGGCGGCGAACGCGUGAACGAAGGCCGGAUGGAACAACACGUCUUUCCGCGGACUCGGAGAAUAAUAUCUCUAUCGGAAACACCGUUUUAUCUACGGCCACGCUCGCAGAUCGUUCUCGUACAAACAAGCGUCCGAUAAACGCUCUGCCCUCGCAUCAUCGCAACAUCAACCUCUGCGUUAGCGGCUUGCUCGCACGCGUCAAUCAAAACACAUUAAUUUCGCGUGUCGCGAGAGGGAUCGAGUCGCGCGAAUCGCGUUUUCGCAAAUCACAAGAUAGAAACAGAGAAAGGGAGAGAGAAAGAGAGAGAAGCCUCAGCUAUGGUCGUCGCUCCACGCGCAACUCGGACGAUCGAUCUCUUUGUUUCGCUUACGUGGAGGCGAGUAUGUGAUCGCGAAUAACAUGACAUUCGUGUUGUCUCGCUCGUUUCUCCGCUUCUCUUUUUCGUGCUGCUUUUCUCUGUCCGUUUCUCCUUCUCUCUCUUUCUCCACCUCUCUCUCUCUCUUUCU